rnacentral:rRNA from 1 species
UACGGAGGGUGCAAGCGUUGUCCGGAUUUAUUGGGUUUAAAGGGUGCGUAGGCGGCCUAGUAAGUCGGCGGUGAAAGCCCGGGGCUCAACCCCGGAACUGCCAUCGAUACUGUUAGGCUUGAGUACAGGCGAGGUUGGCGGAAUGGGCGGUGUAGCGGUGAAAUGCAUAGAUACCGUCUAGAACCCCGAUUGCGAAGGCAGCUGACUAGGCUGUAACUGACGCUGAGGCACGAAAGCGUGGGGAGCGAACAGG